rnacentral:rRNA from 1 species
CCUACGGGUGACUGCAGUGGGGAAUAUUGCACAAUGGGGGAAACCCUGAUGCAGCGACGCCGCGUGAGUGAAGAAGUAUCUCGGUACGUAAAGCUCUAUCAGCAGGGAAGAAAAUGACGGUACCUGACUAAGAAGCCCCUGCUAACUACGUGCCAGCAGCCGCGGGAAUACGUCGGGGGCGAGCGUUAUCCGGAUUUACUGGGUGUAAAGGGAGCGGAGACGGCAGCACAAGUCUGGAGUGAAAUCCCGGGGCUUAACCCCGGAACUGCAUUGGAAACUGUGCGGCUGGAGUGCAGGAGGGGUGAGCGGAAUUCCUAGUGUAGCGGUGAAAUGCGUAGAUAUUAGGAGGAACAACGGUGGCGAAGGCGGCUUACUGGACUGUAACUGACGUUGAGGCUCGAAAGCGUGGGGAGCAAACAGGAUUAGAUACCCGAGUAGUC